UUGAAAACAACUUCUCUCUUAUGAUCACCGAAGAUAAGCAACGUUGUGCUUGGUCAGUAACAAGAUGGGUGAUCACUUGCGAAUACCAGGAGCUGUAA